GUGCACCAGGCGAGAAACCUCCGCAAUGCGGGAAACCGCGACGGGGGACCCCGAGUGCCGUGGCAACGCCACGGCUUUUCCGGAGUGUAAAAAGCUCCGGGAAUAAGGGCUGGGCAAGGCCGGUGGCAGCCGCCGCGGUAAUACCGGCGGCCCGAGUGGUGGCCGCUAUUAUUGGGCCUAAAGCGUCCGUAGCCGGGCCCGUAAGUCCCUGGCGAAAUCCCACGGCUCAACCGUGGGGCUUGCUGGGGAUACUGCGGGUCUUGGGACCGGGAGAGGCGGGGGGUACCCCUGGGGUAGGGGUGAAAUCCUAUAAUCCCAGGGGGACCGCCAGUGGCGAAGGCGCCCCGCUGGAACGGGUCCGACGGUGAGGGACGAAGGCCAGGGGAGC
rnacentral:rRNA from 1 species